GCCCGGAUGGCGGAAUUGGUAGACGCAAGGGACUUAAAAUCCCUCGUCUGAAAGGACGUGCCGGUUCGACCCCGGCUCCGGGCACCA
rnacentral:tRNA from 4 species